AUUGAACGCUGGCGGCAGGCCUAACACAUGCAAGUCGAGCGAGAGGCGGACGGGUGAGUAAUGUUUGGGGAUCUGGCUGAUGGAGGGGGAUAACUACGGGAAACUGUAGCUAAUACCGCAUACCAUAGGAUGAACCCAAGUGGGAUUAGGUAGUUGGUGGGGUAAAGGCUCACCUAGGCGACGAUCUCUAGCUGGUCUGAGCGGAUGACCAGCCACACUGUGACUGAGACACGGCCCAGACUCCUACGGGAGGCAGCAGUGGGGAAUAUUGCGCAAUGGGCUCAACCCUUGUGCAGCCAUGCCGCGUGGAUGAAGAAGGCCUUCGGGUUGUAAAGUACUUUCAGCUGGGAGGCGUUACCCGCAGAAGAAGCACCGGAUAACUCCGUGCCAGCAGCCGCGGUAAUAC
rnacentral:rRNA from 1 species